UCUGGUUGAUCCUGCCAGUAGUCAUAUGCUUGUCUCAAAGAUUAAGCCAUGCAUGUCUAAGUAUAAAUAGUAUACAGUGAAACUGCGAAUGGCUCAUUAAAACAGUUAUAGUUUAUUUGAUAAUUGACAAUUACAUGGAUAACCGUGGUAAUUCUAGAGCUAAUACAUGCUUAAACGCCCGACUUUAUGGAAGGGUGGUAUUUAUUAGACUGAAGCCAAUAUUCCUUGUGUCUAUUGCGGUGAUUCAUAAUAACUGAUCGAAUCUCUUUUUGAGAUAAAUCAUUCAAGUUUCUGCCCUAUCAGCUUUCGAUGGUAGUGUAUUGGACUACCAUGGCAGUAACGGGUAACGAAGAAUUAGGGUUUGAUUUCGGAGAGGGAGCAUGAGAAAUGGCUAUCACAUCUAAGGAAGGCAGCAGGCGCGUAAAUUACCCAAUCCUGACUUAGGGAGGUAGUGACAAGAAAUAGCAAACCGGGAACCUCAUGGUUUCACGGUAUUGCAAUGAGAACAAUUUAAAACCCUUAGCGAGAAUCAAGUGGAGGACAAGUCUGGUGCCAGCACCCGCGGUAAUUCCAGCUCCACUAGCGUAUAUUAAAGUUGUUGCAGUUAAAAAGCUCGUAGUUGAACCUCUGUCUGGGGCUAGUUUUGGCUUUGGUCAGGCCAGUUCUAGGCAUCCGCCUACAAGACUUAGAGGGCAUUCAGUUGUUCACUAGGAGGAGUAGGCAUUUUACUUUGAAAAAAUUAGAGUGUUUAAGGUAGGUAAUCGCCCGCAUAUAUUAGCAUGGAAUAAUAGAAUAGGACACUUUUCCAUUUCGUUGGUUAUUGGAAUCGUGUAAUGAUUAAUAGGGACAGUUGUGGGCAUUUGUAUUUAAUUGUCAGAGGUGAAAUUCUUGGAUUUAUUAAAGACAAACUAACGCGAAAGCAUUUGCCAAGGAUGUUUUCAUUAAUCAAGAACGAAAGUUAGGGGAUCAAAGACGAUUAGAUAUUGUUUUAGUCUUAACUAUAAACUAUUCCGACUCAAUGUUUGACUGGUUUAUAUAACCAGUUGAGCGUUGUAUGAGAAAUCAAAGUUUUUAGGUUCUGGGGGGAGUAUGGUUGCAAAGCUGAAACUUAAAGGAAUUGACGGAAGAGCACAACCAGGAGUGGAUUCUGCGGCUUAAUUUGACUCAACACGGGGAAACUUACCAGGUUAAAACAAUAGUGGGAUUGACAGUUUGAGAGCGCUUUCUUGAUUGGUUGGGUGGUGGUGCAUGGCCG
rnacentral:rRNA from 1 species